rnacentral:rRNA from 1 species
GACGAACGCUGGCGGCGUGCUUAACACAUGCAAGUCGAACGGAAAGGCCCUGCUUUUGUGGGGUGCUCGAGUGGCGAACGGGUGAGUAACACGUGAGUAACCUGCCCUUGACUUUGGGAUAACUUCAGGAAACUGGGGCUAAUACCGGAUAGGAGCUCCUGCUGCAUGGUGGGGGUUGGAAAGUUUCGGCGGUUGGGGAUGGACUCGCGGCUUAUCAGCUUGUUGGUGGGGUAGUGGCUUACCAAGGCUUUGACGGGUAGCCGGCCUGAGAGGGUGACCGGCCCCAUGGGGACUGAGAUAGGGCCCAGACGCCUACGGGAGGCAGCAGGGGGGAAUAUGGCACAAUGGGCGGAAGCCUGAUGCAGCAACGCCGCGUGCGGGAUGACGGCUUUCGGGUUGUAAACCGCUUUCGCCUGUGACGAAGCGUGAGUGACGGUAAUGGGUAAAGAAGCACCGGCUAACUACGUG